GCUGGGAAAGGUGACUUUUGUGACUUUUUGUGAAAGGUGACAUUUUUUGACUUUUACAGGGAGGAAGUUGCACAAGAGGCCCCAGGCAAGGCUGAAGGGAAGGAUUUGGAGCCACGACCCCAAAAUCAACAGCUCUUUCCACAUCCAGUGUUGGUGGAUGCUGCAACCAGCAAUCAAACUAUUAACCCACAGUUUUGAGGUUGGAAUGAGUCAAAUCAGGCCCAGUUUAUCAGCAGGAAGAUUAUAGCGAAUAAUAAAAACUCUGAAAAUUAACCUUGCAAAGCAUUCCUGCUGGAAGCUCCUCCUGCAGGAUGAGGCUGUGCCAAGGCCGGCGGUGGGGAUUGCUCCCAGGGGAGCCAUCGGCUGCAGGGCUGGAGCUCCACAAUCUCCCCUUGCCCUGCAAUGGUGUCCACAUGUGUGCAACGUGCAGGGAAAACACUGAUGGAUUUAUGGAGGAGAAGGAAUAUUGUGCAAUUGUUUAUGGUGUUACAAUGUUUUUCACUUUUUUGUAAUAUUCCUGACCAGUGCUGCUCGCUGGAAUGAAAGCUGUGCCUUGGCUUCUGCCCACCCUCGCCUUCCUGACAUUUACAUAUUUGCAAUAAUUAUUCCUAAAUACUACAACAGGUACUGUAGAAAACCCUUUCUGUUUCUCUCUGUUGUUUAAAAGCCAUAAAUUUUUUUUAAUAUAAAGGAAGCC